rnacentral:rRNA from 1 species
CGAAAGCCUGACGGAGCAAGACCGCGUGGGGGAGGAAGGCCCUUGGGUUGUAAACCCCUUUUCUCAGGGAAGAAGACCUGACGGUACCUGAGGAAUCAGCCUCGGCUAACUCCGUGCCAGCAGCCGCGGUAAUACGGAGGAGGCAAGCGUUAUCCGGAAUUAUUGGGCGUAAAGCGUCCGCAGGGGGCGCAUCAAGUCUGCUGUUAAAGGCUGGAGCUCAACUCCGGUAGAGCAGUGGAAACUGGUGCGCUAGAGGGCGACAGGGGUAGAGGGAAUUCCCAGUGUAGCGGUGAAAUGCGUAGAGAUUGGGAAGAACACCGGUGGCGAAAGCGCUCUACUGGGUCGCACCUGACCCUCAGGGACGAAAGCUAAGGUAGCG